CCGUCUAGUCAGCGCGGGGGCCGGGCCCGUGGGACGGGCUCUGAGCCUCACCCGGCUGUCCUGGAGCUGCUUCUCCUCCCUCUUGCGGUCACAGGCGAGGCGGAGUCGCGUUUCCACACUCAGAACCGAACAGGAAUGUCUUGGUCUGUUUGGGCUGCUAUAUCAAUACUAUAAACUGGAUGGCUGAAAUAACAAACGUGUGUCUCACAGUUCUGGAGGCUGGUAAAUCUGAGAUCAAGGCAUUGAGAGAUUUCUGGACAUGUGCUUUUGGAGGGACUUAAUGAGGAGACCUAUUUGGAGAGGAGAGGCUACCAGCCAAUAGUUAUCAUCAAAUGCCUGACAUGUAAUUAUUGAGUGCUCACCAGCUUCCAGCAAUUUUCUGUAAAGAAACAAAUAAAAGAAUUCAUCAUAAUCUUAAGGAUCUCACAGUCUAAUGAAAGAGAGAUGAGAAAACAGUUGCUACACAGCACAGUAAGUUCUAUGAACAUUUUGUUGACUAUUGACAACGGGAGCC